AGAAGAGACAUGCCUUGAGUAUCAGACUAGGUAAGACAAUAGUAUACCAACUGGUAUGGCAUAGAUGCCACAUGUGACGAGACCAAUCUCGCCACAUUGCAUUGGAGAAGCCUGGUUGCUCGCCUGUUGCUUUUGGACUAUGGCCCCAUGUUAAAAGCCUUCUUGCUUCUGCAUUCGGUCAUUUAACCGGAUGCCUGUUCAUUCAGUAGUUAAACCGUAUGAACAGCAUUACCCCAGAUAGCCAUCCCAUGGAGUCUAUUCGUAUGGAGAACAGACUUUGUGAACACUUUAACUCCACGGCGAUUGGACUGUGUGCAUAGGAUCUGAGCGCUAUUCGGUACUUUUGUGCGCUCAGAUCGAAGCUAUCUGGGGAUAGGUAGAAUGUAUAUGUUUUGUGCAACAGUUGUAACUUUAUACAUUGUUAUGUCUUUUACUGCCAUGUGGUUAAUGGAGUUUUGCCUCUGUCCUGGGAGAUAAUUGGAUUACUUCCCAAUUAUCUCCAGGACAGAGGGAAGGAAGUUAGGAUGCAUUGUGGGGAUGUUUUACCUCUAUGUGUCUGUCAUUGAUUCACGUCUGUCCUUUGUCACAGUCUCCCAUUUGGUCCCCUACGGGAGUGUCCACCAGGUGGGAGACCUGCAUAAAUACUGGGCAAGUAGCCCUCAUUAAACCUGACCACUGCUUGACCCUCAACACGGAGCUCUGUCUCAUCUUUGGGGGGGGAUUUACUGUGUGCCGAUAGAGACUGAUUGCUAGGAGCGUAAGCCGCUUGGGUGCUUUUCCUAUUCGUCUGCUAGCAGCUAUUCGUGAGGUUUCAGUUCGGGAGUUUGGAGUGCUAUUUUGAAUGCAGUUCGGGAGUUUGCAGCUGUGCCUG